UACGUAGGGCGCAAGCGUUGUCCGGAAUUAUUGGGCGUAAAGAGCUCGUAGGCGGCCUGUUGCGUCCGCUGUGAAAUCCCGGGGCUCAACCCCGGGCCUGCAGUGGAUACGGGCUGGCUAGAGGCAGGCAGGGGAGAACGGAAUUCCGGGUGUAGCGGUGGAAUGCGUAGAGAUCCGGAGGAAGACCGGUGGCGAAGGCGGCCUGCUGGGCAGUUACUGACACUGAGGCGCGACAGCGUGGGGAGCAAACAGG
rnacentral:rRNA from 1 species